rnacentral:misc_RNA from 1 species
UGCCGAGUGUGCCAAUACUAGCAUAGGCGUUUCCCAAAAGCAAGGCCUUGCAGUGCGCGUGCAAAUCCUCAAACGCUGGUUUCGGUCUUCUCUCAUCCUCUGCUUAUUCUCAGUCUCCAUAGACUCUACUCUCUGAACCCAAAUCUGGGUUGCUGUUGAAGCUUCUACUCUUCAUCCCUUGCUAACCUAACCCUUUCCUCUUUCAAGACCCCACACAAGGAGUAGGAGGAGGAAAGUUCAUUUCUUUCCGGCAAUUUCUCCGAUCCGGCUGCCCACUCAAUGUUCAUCACCGGAAACAACAACAUUCCCCAUGGAAUCCCUCUCUCCAGCGGCGGUGGAGGAUUCUGGUGGGCGGUAGCUGGUCCUAACUCCAGAAUAGCUUUAGCCGUCACGGCUUUGGCCGGAAUCGCCGUGUUCGCCGCCCUUUUUUACACUACUAGUAGGUAAUCAAUGAGGGGAAAAAAUCAUUCUCCUUUGCUUUGUGGGUAGCAAGUGAGAGAGAUAAGAGAGAGUUAGAUUUUGCAAUUCUUGUUUGUUCUUUUGGUUUUGUGGGAUUUUUAAGUAGUUGUCAGGAAAGUGAAGUAAAUGAAAGCUUUAAGACGAAGUCAUACUUCGUCGUCGUCAUCAAAUUCGUCUUCUCCAUCAUCUUCAUCAUCAGGGUCGUCUUCGUGGAUUCACUUGCGUUCUGUUCUUUUAAUUGUUAAUUCUUCCUCACCAGCGUCUUGUUCCUCUUCUGAUCGGGGCCAUCUUAAGUCACCAUGGUCUCGCAGGAAAAGAAAACACGCCCUUACUCCUCGGCAAUGGGGGAGAUUGUUUACACCAGAUGGGAAACUCCAUGAUGGUGGAGUUAAAUUUUUGAAAAAAGUUCGGAGUGGAGUGAGUAAUGAUUUUAAUUUCUGUAUUUGUUUUGCUUUGCCGUGAUUAUGGUUUAUCUCUUAUAUUUCUCUUGUAGGGUGUAGAUCCGAGUAUUAGAGCAGAGGUCUGGCCGUUCCUCCUUGGAGUGUAUGAGUUGAACAGUUCUAAAGAAGAAAGAGAUACUAUAAGAACCCAGAAAAGAAAGGAAUAUGAGAAACUCCGCAGACAGUGCCGACGGCUCCUCAAACACAGCAAUGAGAGCUUUAAGUUGAAUGGGAGUAGCGAACCAAGCGGCAAUGUGGAUAGCGGAAGCCUUGUUCAAGAUAUGGACUCUUCUAGUUAUGAAGAUGUGGUUAGUGCAAGGGAAUCCCUUUCCAGUGAGGAAAGGAGUCCAGAUGUUGAGUACUCUGAUGAUCCCUCUAGUACACUGUUGGAAGUUGAUGAUAGUUCAAGACAGCAGAUGACAAACACUGAUGCCUCUGCACUGAACACUGAAUCAUCUGACUCAGACUCCUCUGAAGACCCCGAAGCAGUUAUUCAGGCUUCCUCUUCUUCAGGACAGGAAAAUAAUGGUCCUGAUGAGCCUUCCAAAGAGUUUACUUCUCCCUCAAGGACUGAGCUCCACUCGAGUGCACCUGCUGCUGAAAAUUUUGCUACUUGGCAGCGGAUAAUUCGUGUAGAUGCAGUGCGUGCCAAUUCAGAAUGGAUACCUUACUCUCCAUCUCAGGCUUCAGUAUCAGAGGAUAGAGCACGCUGUUCUGCAGAGGCUGUUGGGUUAAAGGACUAUGAACAUCUGGAACCCGGCAGAAUUUUCCAUGCUGCCCGAUUAGUUAAAAUUCUCGAAGCCUAUGCAAUCUAUGACUCUGAAAUUGGCUACUGUCAGGGCAUGAGUGAUCUCCUUUCUCCGAUUAUUACUGUUAUUACAGCGGAUGCUGAAGCAUUCUGGUGUUUUGUGGGUUUCAUGAAGAAGGCUCGCCAUAAUUUUAGGCUCGAUGAAGUGGGAAUUCGAAGGCAAUUGAAUAUUGUUUCCAAGAUUAUCAAAUGCAAAGACUCCCACCUUUUCAGGCACUUGGAGAAGCUCCAGGCUGAGGAUUGUUUUUUUGUUUAUAGGAUGGUGGUGGUGCUGUUCAUGAGGGAGUUGACUUUUGAACAGACAAUUUGUCUCUGGGAAGUGAUGUGGGCAGAUCAGGCAGCCAUAAGAGCUGGCAUUGGCAAGUCAGCAUGGAGCAGGAUAAGGCAGCGAGCGCCACCAACAGAUGAUUUAUUGCUUUAUGCUAUUGCAGCUUCAGUAUUGCAGAGGAGAAAAUUAAUCAUAGAAAAGUAUAACAGCAUGGAUGAAAUUUUAAGGGAGUGCAAUAGCAUGGCUGGGCAACUCGAUGUGUGGAAGCUGCUAGAUGAUGCACAUGACUUGGUGGUCACCCUGCACGACAAGAUAGAGACAUCCAUCUGAUGGCUGCAUUUCAGUUAUGUCCGCUAACUCACGCUAAUUCUUUUUCUUCUUUGGGAUAUUUGAAGUCUCCUUGUCACAACUUCUAAAAAGCACUACAGUGGCUAUUCAUUCUCAAUUAUGCUAGUUAGUUCUCAAAUGGCAUACUUGAGAAGAUUUAUUUAGGAUUGUUUGCAUCUAAUUCUACCACUUUUUGGAACCAGGGUCUCCAAACAGGUAGGGCCUGUUAUUAAGAUAUGGACAAUGUGAUUCUCAAUAUUGGAUUCUCUUUGUAACUGGUUGUUGGCAGAAGCAGGAUUAGCUGCUUUAAGCUUCUUCUAACGGCUGAAUAAGAUUGUCUUGAAUGAUUUAAGUACUGAAUUAUGGCGUAGCAAAUAGCAAUGCUAUAAAUUCUUGAAGAGAGAGAUUCCUUUCCAACUAAAUUAUGUCUAUGCUGUGCUUUUCCUUGGAUUUUCAUAACUUGCAGAUGUAAAAUGUAAAAAAUAAUAAACAAAAGAACUACCAUUUUAUAAAAUAAAUGAAUUAUCCAUUCCGAGUUGUAAGACUCCUUCCUAAAUUUUACACUUUUGCUUGUAGGAUUGGCACAGAAAAACAUGCUGGAUUCCGGAUUCCUGAUCUCAGCAAUUGAAGCCAACAAUUUGGACUCAGGACCCUCUUAUCAUCAUUUUUUCCUAGGAACUAUUUUUUUAACGAAGCACUUGUCCAAAUUGCACAUCUAAGCAUUUUUUAUUGAUGUCCACUAUUAGGACAAAAUGAUUAUCCUUCUAAUUCAAUUCAUUUGGACUGUAAUUGACCUUGUUU